CCAUCAGAUCUCGUGAGACUUAUUCACUAUCAUGAGGACAGCAUGGGAAAAAGCCCAUCCCCGUGAUUCAGUUACCUCCCGCCGGGCCCCUUCUACAACAUUUGGGAAUUAUUACAACUCAAGGUGAGAUUUGAUGGUAAGAGAUUAACAGCAAUACCCAAUAAUAAAAUAGAACUAUUAUGACAAUAUGCCAGCAUCACUACUCUUGAACUUUCAGGCCAUU
rnacentral:lncRNA from 1 species